GUUGGGCUCGGGUUUGGGUUUUUUAGGAGGUGGCAUGUUUUGCUUUUUACCCUGUACUUGUUCCUACAAUGUUGCUAUAGCUGGAUUGAGUGUUGCGACGUACACUAAGAAGGUCUUAGGACUAGUAGUUCCAUUUUAGGGCAACGUAGGGUUAGAGAGUUUUUUUCAAUUUUGUAUUUUGUUUUCUGUAGUUCCUCUAAGAUUUUAGUCUUUUCGGAGUUUCUAUUUUGGAUUUUAGUCGUUUCAUUCGAGUAUCAAUCUAUAAUAUGAGGGGUUUUUGGACCUCUCAAGCUUGACCGAGUGAGGUCGUAUGAUUUAAUAGCCCUAAAAAAAAAAAAAAAACUCGAAAGUAAUGUUUCUAGGUAUAUGAGUUGUUGGAGUCAAAAUAGAUUUUUAAAAGUGCCAAGCAAUAGUUGUGUACUUCUGAUCCUCCAAUUAACCAGAAGUGGUUAAACCAAGAGUGUUGUCCAAGACGUGAAUAGCAUGGGGUACAUCAUGUAAAGGCUAGAUUAACUAAUUUCAGAGUCCUGCUUGAAGCAAAGUUGGGGACAUGAUGAGUAUGAUCUCCUAGUUCCACAGAACGAUUCGACUCAUUGCUAGCUGUAGGAUUCCUAUUUCAUUGGAAGAGAUAUCAAAUUAUGCAAGAUAAAUAACAAGAACCAAACACGUACACCACACGCAACCAACCCAAAUUUAUUCUCUUAAACUUGUUUUGAUGGACAAAAGGAAUCAAAACCUUAGCAAUAUCCAUCAAAACAAAAGGAUCAAAACCUUGAGAAAUUCUAAGGUUGACAAAACUUGUUAUUCCUAAAUCCAAACCUCAAUCCAAAUCCAUGUUGUGAUCAUUCUCUCCGCAGGCCAAUCCAACCUUCUUCAUCACCAACAGCUUCAAGGUGAUUUGAUUGGUUGGGGCCUUGGAGGAGGAGGAAAAUCUCAAAAUCAUAUAUGGGGAAGCAUCCAAGAUGUUGUUGUGGAGAUGAUGGUGAUCAAUCCCCUAUUAACAAUGGAGAAAGAAGUAGGAGUAAUCGGAAAAGAGCAUCAUCAUUGUGUCAUUGUCCUGCAGUUUCUUCAAUAUUUAGAAGGAUAGGAAGAUGUAUGUUUGUGACUUGUUUCCCUGUCAUACAAUGUUUUGGAUUAGAUGAAUGUAGACACCACCACCACCAUCACCAUAAACAUUUUGCAGAGUUUACAUGAUAGCAAUCUCAAUUAAAUUCUUUUAGUAUUAGAUCGUUUAGGGAUGGUGUAAAAAUUUGAAGCUUUUGAUUUGGUGUUAUUUGUUUGGAUCAUAAAAGGGAUCAUUACAGAAGUUUGGCAGUAGUUUUAGUGCAGUAGUUAGUGGAUCAGAUAUCAUGAUGUUGUACAGUUCUUUGUAAAAUAUACAUCUGCAUUUUACCU